CAUGAGCAUUAUUUGCUAAGAACAAUAUGUGAUAACAUCAAGGAUUCUAAAAAAUUAAUUUCUCAAGAACUGGCAUAAUGCAUGGAAAAGGAACACACGUUCUUGCUCAUUAGAAUCCUCAGAAACAAUAAUAGCACCAAUAAGAUGUCUAACCUUCAAGUCAACAUAAGUUCGAUGAUCAGCAUUAUCGAAAGCACGCAUUUUAACAUCACGCCACCUGAUUAUCAG
rnacentral:misc_RNA from 1 species